rnacentral:rRNA from 1 species
CUACGGGCGGCAGCAGUGAGGAAUAUUGGUCAAUGGGCGCGAGCCUGAACCAGCCAUCCCGCGUGCAGGAUGACGGCCCCAUGGGUUGUAAACUGCUUUUCUAUGCCAAGAAACCUGAUUACGUGUAAUCAGUUGCCGGUAGCAUAGGAAUAAGCAUCGGCUAACUCCGUGCCAGCAGCCGCGGUAAUACGGAGGAUGCAAGCGUUAUCCGGAUUCAUUGGGUUUAAAGGGUGCGCAGGUGGGCUUGUAAGUCAGUGGUGAAAUGCUGCCGCUUAACGGUAGAACUGUCAUUGAUACUGCGAGUCUUGAGUAUGGUUGAGGUAGGCGGAAUGUGUUGUGUAGCGGUGAAAUGCAUAGAUAUGACACAGAACGCCAAUUGCGAAGGCAGCUUACUAAGCCAUUACUGACGCUGAGGCACGAAAGCGUGGGGAGCGAACAGGAUUAGAUACCCGUGUAGUC